rfam:Schistosoma mansoni, Puerto Rico, WGS project CABG01000000 data, contig: 0138
CACUGCUGAGGAGUCCCAUAAUAGGACGAAAUGGCCGUCCAGGGC